CGCGCGCCGACGCCGCCGCCAUUUUAGUCGCCGCCGCCGCCUCAGCGAAGCGCUGCUCGAGGCGGGAGGGCGCCGCGGCCGGAGCGGGCCCAGGGCUCGGCACGGCGCCUCCCGCUCUGCCCCCGGCCGCUCGCCGCGCCGCUCCGCAGCGGGCCCCGGCCUCGCUAGGCGUCCCGCCCGUCCCCCCGCCCGCCCGCCGCCCCCGAGCCGAGCGAUGCCGCGCCGCCCCGCGCCCGCGCUGGCCCCGGCCGCCGGGCUGCUGCUCGCCGGGCUGCUGUGCGGCGGCGGGGUCUGGGCCGCGCGAGAAGUCCCCGGCCCUCCCUCUUUACAUUUCCCAGGACCUCUGCUCCUUCAGCUCCUCCUCAGGGGACUGCGCCUCCCAGCUUGCCCAAGCCAGCCCGUUUCUUUUUCCUCGGUGCCUCACUGGUGUAGAUGUCACCUCUCAGCCGAUGUUUUGUUCCAGUCCUGGCAUUUCCUUCAUUCCAAGUCAUCUUGGCCAUCUGACCCGCACUCCACAUUCCAUCGGUCCACUCUUGCAUCCCGGCGUUCCUGAAUUUGAUGUAAUGGGUGAAGAGAGCCAAGCAACCACAAAGCCUUGGAAGGUGGCCUGGGGCUGCAUUACUUGGCGACCUUUUGGGGUGGCUGUGGCCGUUGGAAGUCCGUCCCGCUCUUGUCCAGCCCCUGUGUCCUCCUCACGCUCUCAGACACACUACACACUGUGUGAAGCGGCGGCUGGCCAGGUGCUGAGUCCCAGACGAACAAUGUUUUAAGGGGUGCUCUGCACUAAGGAAAUUGUCAGUGAUGCUAAUUGCCCAGGUUCCUUUGACUUCCUUAGUAACUCUGAAAAUGUCUACAUGUAACUUGUUCCUGUGAGUGAUGUCACCAGCUCUUGUGAUUUCCUGUCCUCUUAACAGCACAAAAGCCAACCUGGAACGUCGUCCGUUCUGAGGAUCAAACUCACUGAACCAUAGACAGCAGUGUCCCUCUUUUUCCAGUUGGCAGUCCCAGCUGCCUGCCUGACACAGGGUCCUUCGAGACCAGCCCGUGCAGUCUCAGGUCCUGGGGCUCAGAUGCCCCAAAUCGCCCAGGCAGUGUGGCCUUCCUGUCCUCCCCCAUCUUGGACUCUAGCUCAUCAGUCUGUUGAUCCUGCUCUGUGUAAUAGGAAAAAAUGUGCUUCUUGAUGGGUUCAGUGUGAAAUACGAUUGGGUAGUUUCAUUGUCUGUGUUUAUCACAAGAAUCUUCUGUAUAUUCAGUUUAUAAAUAAUUUAAGAGCUCCAUGUCAAAGCCUUGAUCUCACUGUCCUUAAUUUUGUAGGAAUGUAAAUAAUAAAAGAGCAAAAAAAGAGGAAAAAAAGAAUCUCGAUGUUUCUGACUGCAUUUAUGGGUUUAUUAGACAAGUGUAGGGAGCAUACGUACAGCGGUACUUGGGGUAGCAGGUCUUAGGGGCUUUGCGUUGAUAAUGAAUGCCAGUGGGUCUUGAAUACCAUGUGGCCUUUUUGGAACUAUAUAUGAUAAGGUUUUCCAUUGUAUAUGAAGGUCAGGAGACUAUAAAAACACAAAACUUGGAAAUUAACAUCCGACUGUUACGCUAUGAUUCAGGAUAGCCCUGUCCUAUUUUAAUCCAAGAGAAAUGUGAUAAAGAAAAGGAAAAGGGCAAGCCUGUCCUGUAUUUUCUGAUAACAUUGCAAAGUAGGGAAUUUAAGGCAGUUAUAGCAUGUACUUUGUUACAUAACUAGAGUUCUGAUUGGCAUUGUUUAUUGAUAAGUGAAUGUGGACACAUCAACAUUUUAAAAUGUUCUGAGAAGGGCUGGGGAUGUAGCUCAGUGGUGCAGCACCUGCCUGGCAAGUGCAAGGUCCUGAGUUCAAUCCCUGGUAUGGGGCAGGGGGAAUAAUAAAA
rnacentral:lncRNA from 1 species